AUGCAAAAAUACAAUCGAUUUCAUCAUAUCAUCUUAGUUUAGGCUGAUUAUAUAACAUCUGCUUUUCAAUCUGUUGCUAUUGGUAGACAAGACGAAAAUAAUUCGUCGAGUACGAUGGCAUUAUCGCUUCAGGUGUGUGUUUGGUGUUGGCAUCACAUAAUGAACAUAUAUGGCGAGAAGGAUGGAACCGAAGGGUGAUGCCCUGCAUGUCGGGCACCUUAUGAUAAGGUUACAAUACAUUCCGAAAUCUGUAUUCUUUUACUGCUACUCCCUAUAGAAAAUACUCUUUCUAAUGCUAGAAUCUUAGCAAUAGUUCAAGUCAAGAACAAAAGGUAUCAAAGCGGAAGCCCAAAUGAAGGAACAAAGAACCUUAGUAGUGUUUGAGUAAUUCAGUGAAAAAUGGUGUAUAUCAUUGGACUCUGCCUCUUGAUCUUGCUGAUGAAGAUUAUCAUCUAAGGCACAGAACUUGACACCAACAGGAUUUUCCAUGACCAUUAAUCCCCCAACUGCAUGAGACCUGAACAGGCUGUUGCUGACAGCUUUGGAUAUCAGGAUUGGAUCAAACACUCGUUAUCGUUCACCAUUGUUAGGGAAUCCAAGCACCGCUGGUAUCAAUCAUGCUACAAUAGGUGGUGAAGGCAGAUCAUCAACAAACGGGUUGACCAAACUAACCAGAGCUACGUUAUUUAUUUAACAGACAAUGUUUGGAGGAGAUGAGUAUCAAGUAUCAAAAACAGUGUAUUGUUACAUGAAAAUUACUAAAUGGUAUACUUUUUCUUUUUCAUACAACUUUGAAAGCAAGUUCCAAAGAACAAUAUCCAGUUUAUAUUGUAUUGUAGUUU